AUCUUACUGGUGAUACCUGGAUAUCUGAGUCUUUCUGAAGGUAUUUUGUCCACUGUGCACAGAUUUGCGUACCAAUUAAGGUACGAAAUGAUUCUUUGUAACUGACUGUAUUUUUACAGUGAAAACCUCUUACGGGACUGUGCAGCAUGAUGCAUUGGGCAAAAUGUAGACAACUGUAUAACCAGUCUUCAUCCAAUUACCCAUAGAAUACUUCACAGUCAUUUCAGCAAGCUGGGUCCUUUUGGAGAGUUCGAAUGAUAUCAGAUACCUAUUUUAGAAAGAACUGACUGCAAAAGGAGAUUGAUUUGCUGUCAUAGAUGAUUAUGCUGUUGUCAUCUAAAGUAAGUUGAGUUGUGUUGUCUGCUGCUAAAUAGGCUUUCACAAAACAUAGCAAUUAGAGUGAAAUAACCUCUUUUCUGUAACAUGGAUAUGCAAGUUUAAAUCCUGGAAGAAGUAUAAACAGCUUAUUAGUGCAUUAGAAUAGAGAUGUACUUAGAUAACCUCGAAAGAUAAAGGACUACAAUCAGUCCUAUUUCUCCCAUUUGCAUAACUCAUAUGAAAGGAUGUAAUCCAUAGUGGAAAUUUCCAUAGACUUCAUAUCAACUUGGACAAGUCAUUCACUUGUUCUGGAACUCAAUGGCAUGCAGAAACAUACAACUUCUACCAUUACAUUUAUUUCUAUUUAAAAGUCUUAAAGACAAGACUAUCUUAGUUAUUUCAGAACAGAUACUAAGAAAACAUGUAACAGUCUUCUUGCCAUAAGUCUAUGGAAAGAUACAAAUCCAUCAAAAGUAAUGAAAAUAAGUAUAUGGGAUUUUUAAAAUCAAAACUACCGGUGGCAGGUGUAUGUAUGCAUUAAAUUUGCUCAGAGACCAUAUCAGUGUUCUCAGAUGCUGCUUCACUUUAUGAUAAAAAUAGAAGUCACAUUCAGCUAAAGGACUAUAAGGGAGAAUAUUACAUGUCAGAAUACCAAAGUAGAAUGUUAAACUUUGCAUUGUGAGAUGUAAGCAAACCGACUGCUUGCUAAAAUGGUAUCAGUAGUACAGGAAGCCCCCAGGGCCCCUUCAAACUCCAACAGCCACAAAAGGGGCUUUAAAAAGAGUGCAGUAAUUGCUUGCAAGGAACUGUGUGAUCAUUAACUGUUAACCUGAAACUUCAGUAAUGUUUUAUUUUACCCAUGAGUGCUUUUUCACUUUCAGAGUGAGCUCUAGUAUGCUGUCAAUCUCCCCACAGAAAUCCCCUUGACUUUGGUAGUGAUUUGGUAUGGAACUCUGAUGGAACAUUGCCUGGCACGUUGCCGCCAAAACAAAGUAAUAGUAUAAAAUCACUUAUGCAGUGUAACUGGAAGAAUUGCCAAGAAUAAGAAUUUUGUUGUUAUUG
ensembl:lncRNA